ensembl:rRNA 5S_rRNA 5S ribosomal RNA
GUCUACGGCCAUAUCACCCUGAACGCUCCCGAUCUUGUCUGAUCUCGGAAGCUAAGCAGGGUCAGGCCUGGUUAGUACGCGGAUGGGAGAAACCUCCAGGUAGAAGGAAAAG